AGAGUUUGAUCCUGGCUCAGGACGAACGCUGGCGGCGUGCUUAACACAUGCAAGUCGAACGGACAUGCGGAUAGCUUGCUARCUGCAUGUUUAGUGGCGGACGGGUGAGUAACGCGUGAAUACCUGUCCAUCGGAGGGGGACAACGGCUGGAAACGGCCGCUAAUACCGCGUAAGCCGAGAGGUGAAAGGUUGCCUUAGGGUAGCCGCCGAUGGGGGGGUUCNCGUCCUAUCAGCUAGUUGGUGGGGUAAGGGCCUACCAAGGCGAAGACGGGUAGCCGGUCUGAGAGGGCGAUCGGCCACACUGGAACUGAGAUACGGUCCAGACUCCUACGGGAGGCAGCAGUGAGGAAUAUUGCGCAAUGGGGGGCAACCCCUGACGCAGCGACGCCGCGUGGAUGAUGAAGGCCUUCGGGUCGUAAAAUCCUGUCAGAUGGAAAGAAGUGCAUAGUGGUUUAAUACCCGCUAUGUUUGACGGUACCAUCGAAGGAAGCAACCGGCUAACUCCGUGCCAGCUUGCCGCGGUAAUA
rnacentral:rRNA from 1 species